AGUUGUAUUGACAAGAACGUCUCCAGACGGGUCUGAGGCUCGGAGUAGCAAGUCUUAAGAGCUGCAUUAUAUCCACGUGUGCAGUUUGUGCUUUCUCGUAUUGUGGAGAAGAUGAAUAAGAACAGGAAAAGGAGCAUAUUUUCCGAGUUCAUGAUAUCGAAGUUCUGUCUAGAUUUGAUGUGCUCAGUAAUGCAAUUUUGUGUAUUUGUAGCUUUAUUGGCAUUUUGUGCAACUUUGUAAAUGUCUUCCACAAAACCUACAUUAUCACCACCCUUGAAUCCGACAAUAUUUGACGACCGAGGCAAGGAAGUUCCGAGUGUUGCAGGGCCUUACGAAGAAGGACGCGAGAUGAAACUGUUAUGUGUGGUGUCAGGGGGGCUAAGAACCGAAAGCCUUCGCCGAAUGCGUUGUUUUUGGGAGGUCUCGGGUUGGAAUUUCGGCUCUGAGACCGGCUCUCCUGACUGAAGAUCUUCGUGGUUUUGCCGAGGCUCUUGAGAUAUUUUAGUGAACGACUUUGUGCCAAGACCUCUUCCUUUGACAUCUUUCCAAGUUAUUAAUCACCCUUUCUCCCCAUCCUAUUUACUGUAAUCAAAGCUACCGACGGUGUCCUUAAAUGUGGUAGAUAUAAGUAAGUAAAUAAAACAAGCCUAUAUAAAUAUAUGUAUAAAAUCUAGAACUUCGUGAUAAUUUGAAAUGUUGCCUUUUCAUUCAUAUCAGUUUAUUCAUGUUGUAACGUGGGGCAUAUUUCCUGGAAACCUCCCGACUGAUCUCCUUGAAUUUAAAAACGUUUCCGUCCUUCCUUCCUUCCUUUCUGUACAAACUUAAGCACCGAGUCGCCGGUUGCAGAAAGAGAGAAAGAGAGCUUUAAAGUCCUCCAUAAAACAACCCACUCUGCCCAUCGUCGGCCGGAUUCAGCCUAGAUACGUCCUAACUUCGAGAGAUCUUGGCUGCGGCUUCUUAAGAAAGACAAGGAGACCGGAAGGAAAUGUACCUUGGCUGACUUCUGCACUCACUCUCCCCCAAUCCCUCGCCAUGGCGGCGGCGUCUUCUGCAGAUUCUUCCAUGAUUUCUACCCUCCUUUCAGUCUGUUUUCUUCUCAAUAUUUAUGCUUUCCCUUCUUACCACACAGUGUUUAUUAUACUGGUUUACCGUAAUUGAUGCCAACAAUUUUUUUGCUGUCUCUUUAUUCCUUCUCCCCCUUUGAAACCUCUUUUGUUUCUCUUGUGUGUAUUCCGUGCUCCUUUCCAUUAUUUCACACUUUUCUGCACUUUAUUCACUAUAAAUUUGUUCUUUCUGUCUCUUGCAUAUGUCCACUCUUUCUUCAUCCGUGUUUUCCUGUACAAUAAUAUUCUAAAUAAAUCCUUCGUCGUAUAAAAAAGGCAGAUCUCUUGUCCUGUAUUUCUUCUCUUGGUUCCGCAAGUAUGGCCAUACACUUCCCUCUAGAAAUUUUAAAACAGAUCUUACAAGAUUUAUCCAGCCCAGUUCUCAACGAUAACUCAGAAAUUGUAAUGACUAGACUAUGAACUCGAUGACUGGGUUUCGAUUCCUUGGUAGGGUUUUUUCUCUUCACUUUAGUCUGCAGUCCGGCACUGUUGAUCUUUCCUUGGUGUAAAGGGCAGUACAUAAAGUUAACCAUCCAACCACAUCUGCUGCCUAGUAUAAGCAUGCGUGGAGCUAUGCCUCCAUUUCCCCAUAUGUCCCCAUGACAUAGCCUCGCCGUUUAGGUCACACGAAAGAAAUAUUGAUGACUAUUUUAAUACUUCUUGUUUUAUCAUAUAAUGUGUUUAUAGUUAGUUUAUGUUUCGUUUUACAAAUGUUUCUGUUUUUGUGUUUGAAUGGAAAAUAUUUUAAUCAAAUGGAGGGUAUCAAGUGUACACACCACGCCUGUCGAAUUUUAAAUAGCAACUGUAACUCAGAUUUUAUUGUGUAUGGUGUUGAGGUUUGUGUACAGUAGGCACCCUCUUAAGUUUAUAACCGUCUCUUCCUGAAAGAAAGAUGUUCCCCCUGCAAUUAUCUGAUUUGUAUGAAUAAAAGGUUUUAAUGACAA